rnacentral:rRNA from 1 species
UCGGGAAUAUUGCGCAAUGGAGGAAACUCUGACGCAGUGACGCCGCGUGCAGGAAGAAGGUUUUCGGAUUGUAAACUGCUUUAGACAGGGAAGAAGAAGUGACAGUACCUGUAGAAUAAGCUCCGGCUAACUACGUGCCAGCAGCCGCGGUAAUACGUAGGGAGCGAGCGUUAUCCGGAUUUAUUGGGUGUAAAGGGUGCGUAGACGGGAAAUUAAGUUAGCUGUGAAAUCCCUCGGCUCAACUGAGGAAGUGCAACUAAAACUGAUUUUCUUGAGUACUGGAGAGGAAAGUGGAAUUCCUAGUGUAGCGGUGAAAUGCGUAGAUAUUAGGAGGAACACCAGUGGCGAAGGCGACUUUCUGGACAGAAACUGACGUUGAGGCACGAAAGUGUGGGGAGCAAACAGG